UGCCCAGCAUAUGCUAUCCGUACCUCCACGUGGUACUGGCUGGAAACUACGAGCAACCUUAGGGAAGAUCGGAUAGCCAACCCUAGUGGGAAUUUUGGUCGUAUGCUGACAGGGAAGG
rnacentral:ribozyme from 1 species